GACGUGGCCUCCUGCUGUCCCCAACACAGGAGGGUUUUUCUCAGGAGAAAGCAGUGAGCACGAAGACCCGUCAGUCCUAGUAGGAUGCCCUUCAGAAUCUAUCCCUGCAAAUUCUGCAUGUGGAUCAUAGGAAGUUAAGCCCACAGUCAUUCCCAGCAUAUGACCCAGAAGCAGCAUCCUCAGCAAGAUCUUGAGGAUGGUUGCCUUAUAACAAGGACAUAGAGAUGAGGCUGCAGGUGCCCAUGGAAAACUACAAGUGAUAUGAAGCUCAGCAUCUCGACCUGCAUGUUAUAACCAUCUCUUUUAUUACUUUAAAACUUUGGGUCAGAUCUGUGCUUAGCUCUGCACAUAGACAUGUUAAUCACUUAAGAAACAUUUGUCUAAAAACUAGUAAUAAAAGUUUGUAAGCCCUACAUUUACCUAACCUAUCUCAUCUUCCUUCAAAAUCAAGGACAGGGGCAGGGAUUUAGCUCAGCGGUUCCGCUGCCUGCCUCGCAAGUGCAAGGUCCCAACUUCGAUCCCUGGUACCAAAACCAAGGACACCAAGAUAAGAGUAACUAAGGCAUUUUCAGGAUUUUCAGGGACUCCGCUUGCUAGUUUUGACAAUGUCCUGUUCCAG
rnacentral:lncRNA from 1 species